GAAAUGGACAUCGAGGGAUCUCUCCAACGUUGCUUCGACUACCUCAAAGUGAUUCAUCAGAAAUACUGUGGGACGUCACCCAGGACAAUCACAGUGCCUGGUGUCGAAGGCGGUCUGAUUAUUGACUUCCACACCGACGGCAGUGAGGCGCGAAAGGGUUUCAAGGCGCAUUAUGAAUUUAUUCAACAAUAGAAAACAAGGCUUUACAGCAAGAAGUUCUGUCAUGCAGUCCCAAGGCGAUUGAUAUGCUGCAUCUUUUGGUAUGGAAACCUAUCAUGAGUAAUAAAAUACUUUGAAUACAUACUUAUAUUACUCUCGUUUAUCAAUCGUUAAAAACAAAAAAAUGGUAAAACAAUCAAUUAACCGCCGAAUCUACAAUCUUAAGAUAAAGCUGACAAUGGUGACCACAUAUCUGCGUUAUUAAGGAUCCAUUCAUUGACACUGUUUAUCCACAAUACUAUGAACAUUCCAACCUAAUUGAACAUUCAUGCAUUCUUCUCUUUCUUCAUCCACACAAUGUGCUCCUUUACAUUUACGAUAUGUUCUCCAACUAGACAUACAUGCAUUCUUCUUUCCUCUAUUCGCACAUCCUUCGCUUCCUUUAUGCAUGCAUUAUUUUCCUUUAUCAUCCAAAACUGGCUCCCAGAAGAGAUAUCGCUUGGGUGAGAUCAAGCCAUAUCUACACUGUAGAUAUCUAUCUA